GUGGGGAAUAUUGGACAAUGGGCGAAAGCCUGAUCCAGCAAUGCCGCGUGAGUGAUGAAGGCCUUAGGGUUGUAAAGCUCUUUUACCAGGGAUGAUAAUGACAGUACCUGGAGAAUAAGCUCCGGCUAACUCCGUGCCAGCAGCCGCGGUAAUACGGAGGGAGCUAGCGUUGUUCGGAAUUACUGGGCGUAAAGCGCGCGUAGGCGGCUCAGCAAGUCAGGGGUGAAAUCCCGGGGCUCAACCCCGGAACUGCCUUUGAAACUGCUAGGCUAGAAUCCUGGAGAGGCGAGUGGAAUUCCGAGUGUAGAGGUGAAAUUCGUAGAUAUUCGGAAGAACACCAGUGGCGAAGGCGACUGACUGGACAAGUAUUGACGCUGAGGUGCGAAAGCGUGGGGAGCAAACAGGAUUAGAUACCCCGGUAGUCC
rnacentral:rRNA from 1 species